ACAGAAUACUGUAGUCUACAACUGCCACUUCUGUUUGCAUCGGAAUCUAAAACGAGGCACUCCGAAAGGCCACAUGAAAGAGAUGUACCCUCCCAAGUCAAAAACGUCUUCAAUCUCCAAAGUUGUCAAGUCUAGAAUUUUGAAGCCUAUUAUCAGUUCAGAUAAAGAAAAAAGCAAAGAUAAUGAGAUAAUUGUAACAAGUUCACCUGCAAUGGCUGCUGCCGAAAAUCCGAGCACAGAUGGUUCAGUGACUCCUGUUAGAGGUAGGACGUUGUUGGAUUUGAAAAAGAGAAAUAGGAAGAAAUCUGGGUCCAAAAGACCGGCUGAACCUGAAAACAAUCCGAUGACACCUGAUGCAGAAAAAUCUGUUGGAGCUUCAAGUAAAAGGAGAAAAUCUUGGAUGAGCCUCAGAGAAAUGGUUGAGAGCAACGAGGACAACCGCUUCUAAUUCUACAAUACCAUUCUUGGUUUAAUGAUACAUACCGGACCGAAUCGAUCACCGAUUUUUGGUAUGGUACGAUUGACCGGUUUGAUUUUUUUUAUUAUUAAUAUUUUGUAGUAGAAUCACGGACAACUGAUUAUGC
rnacentral:lncRNA from 1 species